AACCGACUCCCGUUGAAAUGGUAGCGGAUGAACUGUGGGUAGCGGAGAAAUUCCAAUCGAACCCGGAGAUAGCUGGUUCUCCCCGAAAUAGUUUUAGGACUAGCCUCAAGUUAGAUACCUGGAGGUAAAGCACUGAAUAGCCUAGCGGCCGAGAGGUUAGCGAAGCUUAUCAAACUCAGAAUGCCAGAGUAUUGAUGCUUGGGAGUCAGACAGUGUCAGAUAAAUGUCAUUGUCAAAAGGGAAACAGCCCAGAUCUACAGCUAAGGUCCCAAAGUCAGGUUAAGUGGAAAACGAUGUGAAGAUACGCAGACAACCAGGAUGUUGGCUCAGAAGCAGCCACUCAUUCAAAGAGUGCGUAAUAGCUCACUGGUCGAGCGUCUUUGCGCGGAGAAUUUAACGGGGCUAAACCUGACACCGAAGCUUAGGCAAUCCAGUAAUGGAUUGGGUAGGGGAGCGUUGUAUACGCGGAGAAACAGUAGCGUAAGCGGCUGUGGAGUGUAUAGAAGUGAGAAUGCCGGAAUGAGUAGCGCGAAUGCAGUGAGAAUCUGCAUGGCCGAAAGCCUCAGGUUUUUGGAGGAAGGUUCGUCCGCUCCAAGUUAGGCGGGAGCUAAGGUGAGGCCGAAAGGCGUAGCCGAUGCACAGACGGUAGAGAUUCCGUCCCCACCGAAAGAUUUAAGCGCAGGGACACUUUUAGAAGGUCGGAGCCAGGUGUUGGUUCUGGUAGAGAUCGAGGGAAGAUUAGUACCGAAGUCCGGCUGGAUAAGAGGCGAGAAAAGCUGCGUGUAUAUCUAAGGUGCCCGUACCGCAAACCGACACAGGUAGGUAGGAAGAAGAUUCUAAGGCCAACGGGAGAAGGGUUGUUAAGGAACUCGGCAAGUUGACCCCGUAACUUCGGAAUAAGGGGUGCUCAUGAAAGUGAGCCGCAGAGAAUAGGCCCAGGCAACUGUUUACCAAAAACACAGGUUUGUGCUAAAUCGAAAGAUGACGUAUACGAGCUGACGCCUGCCCGGUGCUGGAAGGUUAAAAGGAGAUGUGCAAGCAUUGAAUUGAAGCCCCAGUGAACGGCGGCCGUAACUAUAACGGUCCUAAGGUAGCGAAAUUCCUUGUCAGGUAAGUUCUGACCCGCAUGAAAGGCGUAAUGAUCUGGGCACUGUCUCAACAGCCCGCCCGGCGAAAUUGUAGUACCGGUGAAGAUGCCGGUUACCCGCGACAAGACGGAAAGACCCCAUGGAGCUUUACUGUAGCCUAAUAUUGGGUUUCGGUGUUGCAUGCACAGGAUAGAUGGGACGCUAGGAAGUGAGUGCUUUGGCAUUCAUGGAGCGGCCGUUGGGAUACCAUCCUUGCGACAUUGGAAUUCUAACCUGCGCCUUUGAAUCAAGGCGGGGGACAUUGUUAGGUGGGCAGUUUGACUGGGGCGGUCGCCUCCUAAAGAGUAGCGGAGGCGUUCAAAGGUUGGCUCGUCCUGGACGGAAACCAGGAGAGAGAGUGCAAACGCAAAAGCCAGCCUGACUGCGAGACUGACGGGUCGAGCAGAGACGAAAGUCGGAGUUAGUGAUCCGGUGGUAUGUGAGUGGAAAUGCCAUCGCUCAACGGAUAAAAGUUACCCUGGGGAUAACAGGCUGAUCUCCCCCAAGAGUCCACAUCGACGGGGAGGUUUGGCACCUCGAUGUCGGCUCAUCGCAUCCUGGGGCUGUAUUCGGUCCCAAGGGUUUGGCUGUUCGCCAAUUAAAGCGGUACGCGAGCUGGGUUCAGAACGUCGUGAGACAGUUCGGUCCCUAUCUGUCGUGGGCGCAGGAUAUUUGAAAGGCGCUGUCCCUAGUACGAGAGGACCGGGAUGGACGAACCUCUGGUGCACCAGUUGUCACGCCAGUGGCACAGCUGGGCAGCUAUGUUCGGAUCGGAUAAACGCUGAAAGCAUCUAAGCGUGAAGCCGGCCUUAAGAUAAGAUAUCCCACUGAGAUAAUCAGGUAAGACCCCUUGAAGACUACAAGGUUGAUAGGCACAAUGUGUAAGUGGCGUGAGCCAUUGAGCAAGCGUGUACUAAUAGGUCGAGGGCUUGACCCC
rnacentral:rRNA from 1 species